UACGAAGGGGGCUAGCGUUGUUCGGAAUUACUGGGCGUAAAGGGCGCGUAGGUGGCUUUGAUAGUCGGGUGUGAAAUGCCUGGGCUUAACCCAGGAACUGCACUCGAAACUCCAAGGCUUGAGUGUGGGAGAGGUUGGUGGAAUUCCCAGUGUAGAGGUGAAAUUCGUAGAUAUUGGGAAGAACACCGGUGGCGAAGGCGGCCAACUGGACCACAACUGACGCUGAGGCGCGAAAGCUAGGGGAGCAAACAGG
rnacentral:rRNA from 1 species